rnacentral:rRNA from 1 species
UAACGCCUACGGGACGCAGCAGUGGGGAAUAUUGCGCAAUGGGCGAAAGCCUGACGCAGCGACGCCGCGUGAGGGAUGAAGGUCUUCGGAUCGUAAACCUCUGUCAGCAGGGAAGAACGGUCACUGUGCUAAUCAGCAGUGAAUUGACGGUACCUGCAAAGGAAGCACCGGCUAACUCCGUGCCAGCAGCCGCGGUAAUACGGAGGGUGCGAGCGUUAAUCGGAAUUACUGGGCGUAAAGCGCACGUAGGCGGUAUGUCAAGUCAAGGGUGAAAUCCCCGCGCUCAACGUGGGAACUGCUUUGAA